UACUAUCGAAGGAAAGCCUUAAUUCAUAGUA
rfam:Flavobacteriia bacterium 40-80 scnpilot_p_inoc_scaffold_236, whole genome shotgun sequence.